GAAUGAACGCUGGCGGAAUGCUUUACACAUGCAAGUCGAGCGGCAGCGCGGGGCAACCUGGCGGCGAGCGGCGAACGGGUGAGUAACACAUCGGAACGUACCCUGUUGUGGGGGAUAGCCCGGCGAAAGCCGGAUUAAUACCGCAUAAGACCUGAGGGUGAAAGCGGGGGACCGCAAGGCCUCGCGCGACAGGAGCGGCCGAUGGCGGAUUAGCUAGUUGGUGGGGUAAAGGCUCACCAAGGCGACGAUCCGUAGCUGGUCUGAGAGGAUGAUCAGCCACACUGGAACUGAGACACGGUCCAGACUCCUACGGGAGGCAGCAGUGGGGAAUUUUGGACAAUGGGGGCAACCCUGAUCCAGCCAUUCCGCGUGAGUGAAGAAGGCCUUCGGGUUGUAAAGCUCUUUCGGCAGGAACGAAACGGUGGGCUCUAACAUAGUCUGCUAAUGACGGUACCUGAAGAAGAAGCACCGGCUAACUACGUGCCAGCAGCCGCGGUAAUACGUAGGGUGCGAGCGUUAAUCGGAAUUACUGGGCGUAAAGCGUGCGCAGGCGGUUUCGUAAGACAGAUGUGAAAUCCCCGGGCU
rnacentral:rRNA from 1 species